UACGUAGGGGGCUAGCGUUGCUCGGAAUCACUGGGCGUAAAGCGCACGUAGGCGGAUUGCUAAGUCAGGGGUGAAAUCCUGGAGCUCAACUCCAGAACUGCCUUUGAUACUGGCGAUCUCGAGUCCGGGAGAGGUGAGUGGAACUGCGAGUGUAGAGGUGAAAUUCGUAGAUAUUCGCAAGAACACCAGUGGCGAAGGCGGCUCACUGGCCCGGUACUGACGCUCAGGUGCGAAAGCGUGGGGAGCAAACAGG
rnacentral:rRNA from 1 species